rnacentral:tRNA from 1 species
GGAGGGUUGGCAGAGCGGUUGAAUGCGGUAGUCUUGAAAACUAUUGAGUCCGCAAGGGCUCCGGGGGUUCGAAUCCCUCACCCUCCGCCA